AGAAUCAACGCUGGCGGCGUGCCUAACACAUGCAAGUCGAACGAGAAAGGGUAGCAAUACCUGAGUACAGUGGCGCACGGGUGAGUAACACGUGACUAACCUACCCUUGAGUGGGGGAUAACUGGGAGAAAUCCUAGCUAAUACCGCAUAAUACCUACGGGUCAAAGGAGCAAUUCGCUUAAGGAGGGGGUCGCGGUCGAUUAGUUAGUUGGCGGGGUAAUGGCCCACCAAGACUAUGAUCGAUAUCCGGCCUGAGAGGGCGCACGGACACACUGGAACUGAAACACGGUCCAGACUCCUACGGGAGGCAGCAGUGGGGAAUUUUGCGCAAUGGGGGAAACCCUGACGCAGCAACGCCGCGUGGAGGAUGAAGUCCUUCGGGACGUAAACUCCUUUCGAUCGGGAAGAUAAUGACGGUACCGGAAGAAGAAGCCCCGGCUAACUUCGUGCCAGCAGCCGCGGUAAUACGAGGGGGGCGAGCGUUGUUCGGAAUUAUUGGGCGUAAAGGGUGCGUAGGCGGUUUGGUAAGUCUUGUGUGAAAUCUAUGGGCUCAACUCAUAGUCUGCACGAGAAACUGCCGGGCUUGAGUAUGGGAGAGGUGAGUGGAAUUUCCGGUGUAGCGGUGAAAUGCGUAGAUAUCGGAAGGAACACCUGUGGCGAAAGCGGCUCACUGGACCAUAACUGACGCUGAUGCACGAAAGCUAGGGGAGCAAACAGGAUUAGAUACCCUGGUAGUCCUAGCCCUAAACGAUGACUGCUUGGUGUGACGGGUACCCAAUCCCGCCGUGCCGUAGCUAACGCGUUAAGCAGUCCGCCUGGGGAGUACGGUCGCAAGGCUGAA
rnacentral:rRNA from 1 species